UCCGGUAACUAUAGCGAAGAGGUUACACCUGUUCCCAUCUCGAACACAGAAGUUAAGCUCUUUUGCGCCGAUGAUACUUGGUGGGAAGCUACCUGGGAAAGCAGGACGUUGCCAGAU
rnacentral:rRNA from 1 species